GUGCCCCGAUUCCCUGCACAGCUGCAGAGCUGCAUGGCCUGUUGCUGCUAGAAAAUAUUAAGCAGCAGGUCAACCAGUUAGCAGGAGCUUUAGACAUUUUGAUGGCGAAAGUAGGAUCAGGCCUGCAUGCCCCAACCUACGAGAUGCCCGAAGAGUUCCAAUUCCCCCUCGACAGCGAUGGGGAAUUGGAGCGUUUCGAAGAGUGGCCCCGCAACCCUCUAAACGAAAGAAUGAAGACAAAUCUUGCGACUUCGCUCUCCUCUGUUGGAGGGGUGGACACUAAGAGGGUUGUGUGGAAUAUUCUGGCAA